rnacentral:lncRNA from 1 species
AACAAGAUUUGAAUACCUUUGGAGAGAAGAUUUCGAGAGGAAUCCAAAUAACCAGUUGGGGAACUGGUCAGGCCACCUUGGAAGAGAUGAAUCCUUCAAAGGGAGGAGCAAAUGCUUGGGUGAAUUUUCAAAUCGCCCAAGGGGAGAGGAGGCCGGCAAUGGGGCACACGGGAGAGAUAGGCUUGGUUGAAAUGAGGAGUGAAAGGAUAUGGGAGGAUAGGAUAGAUAGUUAAAACCACGGAGGGGUAAAAGUGAAAACUUCCUGGGUGACCGGUCAGACCGGUCUAGCCAACCGGUCAGAUCAAUUGGUCCUAGGGAACAAGAGUAUGAUUUAAGAAGAUUGAUUUUGAUCCACCUCUUUCUUACACGAUUGGUUAUAGGAUUUUGGAUAGAUAAGAAUCCAAACUUGACGAGUCUUAGAGGAAUUUUUGACAAUCCAAGUAUGUCGUCACUUCUUGUUUCUUCCAAGAGAGAUGUGAGAGAAAGACACAGAAUUAUGGACUUGACUUGAUAAAAUUUCACCAGUUGUGACUAGCCAUCAAUCAAUCAAGGUGAACAAUAGUCAUAAGCGGGUCAAUUGAGUCACAAAGACCAAGAGCCAAAUAUUUUCAAGAAAAACAC